rnacentral:ribozyme from 13 species
CUGAGUUUCUGGUUUUUCCUUCUUUUUCUUGGACUUUUUGGUUUUCUUCUUCUUCUUAGUGGCAGCCGUUGCAAAGUUAGGAGAAGCAUUGUCAGAGGU